GACGAACGCUGGCGGCGCGCUUAACACAUGCAAGUCGAACGGAAAGGCCUGCUUUCCCUUGUGGAUUGCGGGUACUCGAGUGGCGAACGGGUGAGUAACACGUGAGUGAUCUGCCCCCAACUUGGGUAUAAGCCUGGGAAACUGGGUCUAAUUCCCGAUAGGACUGCAGGGUGGUGCCUGUGGUGGAAAACGAUUUUCUAGUGGUUGGGGAUGAGCUCGCGGCCUAUCAGCUUGUUGGUGGGGUAAUGGCCUACCAAGGCGGCGACGGGUAGCCGGCCUGAGAGGGUGGACGGCCACAUUGGGACUGAGAUACGGCCCAGACGCCUACGGGAGGCAGCAGUGGGGAGUAUUGCACAAUGGGCGGAAGCCUGAUGCAGCGACGCCGCGUGGGGGAUGACGGCCUUCGGGUUGUAAACUCCUUUCGACCGCGAGGAAGCCACCUGGUUGGAAGGGUGGUGACGGUAGUGGUAGAAGAAGCACCGGCUAACUACGUG
rnacentral:rRNA from 1 species